ACCAUUGGAAACGGUGGCUAAUACUGGAUGUGCCGGGAGGUAAAAGGCUUGCUGCCUAGAGAAGAGCUUGCGUCAGAUUAGCUAGUAGGUGUGGUAAGAGCGCACCUAGGCGACGAUCUGUAGCUGGUCUGAGAGGACGAUCAGCCACACUGGAACUGAGACACGGUCCAGACUCCUACGGGAGGCAGCAGUGGGGAAUUUUCCGCAAUGGGCGAAAGCCUGACGGAGCAAUACCGCGUGAGGGAGGAAGGCUCUUGGGUUGUAAACCUCUUUUCUCUAGGAAGAUAAUGACGGUACUAGAGGAAUAAGCAUCGGCUAACUCCGUGCCAGCAGCCGCGGUAAUACGGAGGAUGCAAGCGUUAUCCGGAAUGAUUGGGCGUAAAGCGUCCGCAGGUGGUUUUAAAAGUCUGUUGUUAAAGCGUGAGGCUUAACCUCAUAAGGGCAAUGGAAACUAUAAGACUAGAGUACGUUCGGGGCAAGGGGAAUCCCCAGUGUAGCGGUGAAAUGCGUAGAGAUUGGGAAGAACACCGGUGGCGAAAGCGCCUGGCUAGGCCGUAACUGACACUGAGGGACGAAAGCUAGGGGAGCGAAUGGGAUUAGAUACCCC
rnacentral:rRNA from 1 species